rnacentral:misc_RNA from 1 species
GGAAAGCUUGUUAAACUCUCCUUUAUCCACCGGCAUUGCUCCUCAACGGGUAAUGCUCCAGGAAUGAAAUAAAACCCGGGAUGACUUUCCAAGCAGAAGAUAGGAGUAUGGAGAUCGCAAUGAAUUGGGAAAAUGCCUGAGGGAAGUUCAGCAUUUCUGUGGUAAGCCUCUGAAAUUGACUUGAAAUCAAUAACGUCAGACAAAUCUACUGGUCUGGGUUGCUUUUUCUUUCGGGUAUUGUCGUAAUACAGCUUGUAUUUCUUUUCAGCCAUCCUGAAAGCGGUUCGCUCUGCAUCUUCUGUGGGACCGUACAUCUUCUACUACCCCUAAAA